CAGCACAGCUAUGUGGGAAGAACACAGGCUGGUCUGCAGGUCUAGAUUUGGAUCCUAGCUCUGUUACUUACUACUUUGUGACUUGGAGCAAAUUCACGUCCUGAAAGACCAGGACCAGAGACCAUGCUGGGAAGCCUGGCUGCUCUUUGAGGACUGAGAUGGACUUAGCAAUGCAGAGAAGAACAAAGAGAGGCUUGUGCUCACCGUGUUCCAGAGGGAUCACCGUGUUCCCUUUGUUCAUUUGAGGACAUGAAUACAACUAUGGUCUUUGGACAAAAGGCAUAUGCCAGGCAGUAUGAAUGGUCUCUCUUGUCUGUGCAAUUAGUAUGUAAGAGCACGUGAACUGGUGCCUGGGACCUCUACCUGUUUUAGUAUGAUAACACCGCAGUAAAGGGCCUGGACUUUGUAUGAGCUUGGGAAAAUCAUGUCACCUCUGCAAGUCUUGGUUUCCCUGGGUGUUAAAUGUCAAUUUAAGUAAAAUGCUAUCUACGUUGUUUGUUUUGGA
rnacentral:lncRNA from 1 species